UAUGUUUGAAUUUGCCCUGUAUUCAUCCAAAUAAAGUCGUAGAAAGGUUGACUGGGUAUAUCGCUAACUCUCUAGGGUACGCUGCCUUCUCCUUUCUGUGUUUUCGCGUUACUUUAAGGCAAACCCAACAGAAAAGUGUUCGCCGCUCUGUUUUAAUUUUUAGUUUAGGAUAUGGCAGAAGAGGUAGAGUACCGCUGUUUUAUUGGUGGUCUUUCAUGGUCUACAUCUGAUAGAGGCCUGAAAGAGGCAUUUGAAAAGUUUGGUCAUCUUCUUGAGGCCAAGGUAGUUGUUGACAAGUUCUCUGGACGAUCUCGUGGAUUUGGAUUUGUCACUUUUGAUGAGAAGAAAGCAAUGGAAGAUGCUAUUGAAGCAAUGAAUGGAAUGGACUUAGAUGGGCGAACUAUUACUGUUGAUAAAGCCCAGCCUCACCAAGGUUCAGGCAGAGAUCAUGAUGGUGAUCGCAACCGUGAGCGUGGGAGGGAUCGUGAUCAGAACCGUGACAUUGGAGGCAGACGCACAGGUGGUGGUGGGGAGUGCUUUAAGUGUGGUAAGCCUGGACAUUUUGCUAGGGAGUGUCCAAGUGAAGGGGCAAGAGGAGGUCGGUAUGGGGGCAGAGAUGAGAGGUAUAGUGGUGGUGGCGGUGGCGGUGGCGGUGGUGGUGGGGGGGGUCGUUAUGGUCCUGAUCGAAAUGGAGAUCGAUUUGGUGGCCGUAACAGGGAUGCUGGCAACCGUGGAAAUCCAGGAACUGAUCGAUAUAAUCGUGACCGGUCUGGACCAUAUGAACGUCGCGGUUCGGGAGGAUUUCGUGCUGCAUAGAAGUACUCCUGAUUGUGAUCUUAUGCUUGCUUGACAUGCGCAUUCGAGUUGGGUCUUAUUCUCUUUGAAUGCCAUCACUGCUGCUGGGUUACUUUUGACUUUUAUACAUAAGCAGCUUUGAAACUAUUAUCACCACCUUGCCUAGGCAAUUACAGUAAUGAGAGGUGUUUUGCUGUUGGAUGGGCAUUUGGAGUACUAAUGGUGAGUGUCCCAUCAUUGGGAGUGUGCCUUUUCCUACUGAGGAACAGAAGCUGUCUGAUACAUAGAUGAUUAUUUGGGUUACCCUGUUUUUCAGUGUCUUGUUAUAUUGGAUGUGAUCGGGAUGCGUGGCUAUUUAUGGCCUUUUUGGAUGCAUGAUUGGGUUUCUUUGUUGCUAAUUGGACAUCAUUUUUUAACUAGUGAAAGUCCUUUGGGCUGCCACGAGCUAUCUACGAUUUUACUGAAAUAUAGGCCACUAUCAUGUUCUACACGGCGUAUGGAUGAAAAACAUGCAAGAGUUCCAUUCGUUAUAGACACUUGUUAGGUUGUUCGAAGCUCUUAACGAGUUCUGCAACUACUGUCUUCUGUUUCGUUGUCUCAUGGAUGCUUGUUCUGUACUUCUUGGGUAGAGGAUUCUUGUUCUUGCAUUGUUUCCAUGCCUGCAUUUGGUGUCUUGGCUUUGUUUGCAGAUAAAUAUUUAUCGUCCUUUCAGGUUGGACUUUGGUUUCUGUAUCAAUUCUCUUUUGCUCUGACCCAGGGAAUAUCCUUUAGAUUUUCUGCUGGAGAAUGCUGCAUUUUUUCCUCUCUCUGUGAAGCACCUUUGAAAGAAAUCAUUCUUUGGAUGUGCUUCUUGAAUGUGUAUUGUUAAGGUGAUAGACAAACAACCUUGUUAUGAAAAAGAAAAUUUUUAUAAUUUAAA